UACGAAGGGGGCUAGCGUUGUUCGGAAUCACUGGGCGUAAAGGGCGCGUAGGCGGUCCGGUAAGCGCGUGGUGAAAGCUCGGGGCUCAACCCCGAGUCGGCCGUGCGAACUGCGGGACUGGAGCAGAUCAGAGGCAGGCGGAAUUCCGGGUGUAGCGGUGGAAUGCGUAGAGAUCCGGAAGAACACCGGUGGCGAAGGCGGCCUGCUGGGAUCUUGCUGACGCUGAGGCGCGACAGCGUGGGGAGCAAACAGG
rnacentral:rRNA from 1 species